rfam:Picea glauca, whole genome shotgun sequence.
UGCCUAUUAGCUCAGUUGGUUAGAGCGUCGUGCUAAUAACGCGAAGUUUACAGGUUCGAGACCUGCAUGGGCCA